UUUUAAAAGCUUUUCUGACAAGGAACAAAAUGUUUGACUUUUCUAUUACUCAUUAUUUCUUAUUGUUUAUUCAUCGAUUCAAGUUUCAAAAGACAGAGUUGUGUUAGUCUUUUGCAAUGAGACCCAAGGAAGGGAGGGAGAAGAGUCUUGUGGGAUCUUAGGAAGAAUCAUUUGUAUUUUGAGGAUCAUCAUCCAUUUCAUCAGAAUUACCUGCAGGCUGCAGUGUUGCAUUGAUUUUCUACACACCUGUGGAAAACAGUUUUGUUUGUGCUUGUCAGUGAGCUGAGCCAAUGCCUGUUGAGUUUUAACAGAUGGAAUAAGGAAAUGCCAGAAGCGGCACCACGUACUACAACAUGCCAGGGGGACUCUAUCAAGAUCAGAAUGUCCAUGGAAUGAUGAUUUACAGUGCAAUCAAUCACACAGCUAUUGUGUAUUGAUCCCUGGGCUCAUUCUUAGGAAAACAGAUACUGACAUUUCUGUGAGAAAUUGGAUGGAAAAAUUGUGGCAUAUUUUAUUAUCAGAAAGUUUUACCUACUAUGGAAGACAUCCCAAGGAGAACUACAAGCUGACAUGGUUAUUGAGAUGUGGUUCCCAUUUUUCUUACAGCUGCAAAAGUAAAGACUAUCAUGCUCCAGCAAUUUUGGAAGAAUUUACUAUAAAGAUGAUAUAAAACAAUACCAAGAAUCAAGUGCCAGAACAGACAACUACAGAAGCAGAACAUGUUUAGACUAGACUUUCCUGUUAAUUUUUUUCUCUCUUUAGUAUUUACAUAUACUUGUUGUUUAUCAUGUUUUGUUACAGGUUCAUUU